UGACACGAGGAUUUUCAGUCCUCUGCUCUACCAGCUGAGCUAUCCCGAC
rnacentral:tRNA from 1 species